UUCGAGUUUGUGAAGAAUCGGCACCUAGACAUUCCAAGAGAAGCCCUGGGUGUCCCGUUGUCCACACAGAUUCUGGAGCUUGAGUGACCCUGUAUCAUCUCUGUGUGGAGGAAGGCACCCGUUCUCUCUGCUGUCUGGAAGAGCUCUGGGUCCUCACCACACACCGUGGGACACAGCCAUCCUCUCCGCGUGCAUGGCAUUCUGUGGCUGGAAGGAGCUGAGACUGAGAAGAUAGCCCACCUGAUCUUCAUCCCCUCCCUCUCAGAGACAUAUUGAGACAAAGCACAACUUGGUGUUAGAAUCCCACCAUCUCCCUCCUCGGCUAAGAAAACGAAGACUUCCUUUGGCCUGUUGUUGUGACUCGGUGAGUGUGUCAUUUCUUUUGGUCACUGAGCUGUAAGCAGA